rnacentral:rRNA from 1 species
GAUGAACGCUGGCGGCGUGCCUAAUACAUGCAAGUCGAGCGAACAGACGAGGAGCUUGCUCCUCUGACGUUAGCGGCGGACGGGUGAGUAACACGUGGAUAACCUACCUAUAAGACUGGGAUAACUUCGGGAAACCGGAGCUAAUACCGGAUAAUAUAUUGAACCGCAUGGUUCAAUAGUGAAAGACGGUUUUCUGUCACUUAUAGAUGGAUCCGCGCCGCAUUAGCUAGUUGGUAAGGUAACGGCUUACCAAGGCGACGAUGCGUAGCCGACCUGAGAGGGUGAUCGGCCACACUGGAACUGAGACACGGUCCAGACUCCUACGGGAGGCAGCAGUAGGGAAUCUUCCGCAAUGGGCGAAAGCUUGACGGAGCAACGCCGCGUGAGUGAUGAAGGUCUUCGGAUCGUAAAACUCUGUUAUUAGGGAAGAACAAAUGUGUAAGUAACUGUGCACAUCUUGACGGUACCUAAUCAGAAAGCCACGGCUAACUACGUG